GGAGCGUAGCGCAGCCCGGUAGCGCACUUGUCUGGGGGACAAGGGGUCGUGGGUUCGAAUCC
rnacentral:tRNA from 1 species